rnacentral:rRNA from 1 species
AUUGAACGCUGGCGGCAGGCCUAACACAUGCAAGUCGAACGGUAACACGAAACAGCUUGCUGUUUCUCUGACGACGGGCGGACGGGUGAGUAGUGUCUGGGAAACUGCCUGAUGUAGGGGGAUAACUACUGGCAACGGUAGCUAAUACCUCAUAACUUCGCCAGACCAAAGGGGGGUACCUUCUUUCCUCUGUCCGUCGUGUGUUCCCAGAUGGUAUUAGCUAGAAGGUGGUGUUACGUCUCACCUAGGGGACGAUCCGUAGCUGGUGUGAGAGGAUGACAAGCGACACUGGAACUGAGACACGGUCAUGACUCCUACGGGAGGCAGCAGUGGCGAAUAUUGCGCAGUGGGGGGAAGUAUGAUGCAGCCAUGCGACGUGUAUGGCGAAGGCGUUGGGGUUGUAAAGUAGUCUCAGCGGGGAGGAAGGGAGUAAGGUUAAGACGUUGGGUGAUUGACGUUAAUGGGAGAAGAAGCACCGGCUAACUCCGUG